rnacentral:rRNA from 1 species
UACAGAGGUCUCAAGCGUUGUUCGGAUUUAUUGGGCGUAAAGGGUGCGUAGGUGGCGCUGUAAGUCGGGUGUGAAAUUUCGGAGCUUAACUCCGAAACUUGCAUUCGAUACUGCGGUGCUUGAGGACUGGGAGAGGAGACUGGAAAUUUCAUGGUGUAGCAGUGAAAUGCGUAGAGAUCAUGAGGAAGACCAGUGGCGAAAGGCGGGUCUCUGGGACAGUUCCUGACA